rnacentral:miRNA from 17 species
ACAAGUUAGGUUCUUGGGAUCU